AGGCAGCAGUAGGGAUCUUCCACAAUGGACGAAAGUCUGAUGGAGCAACGCCGCGUGAGUGAAGAAGGGUUUCGGCUCGUAAAACUCUGUUGUUAAAGAAGAACAUAUCUGAGAGUAACUGUUCAGGUAUUGACGGUAUUUAACCAGAAAGCCACGGCUAACUACGUGCCAGCAGCCGCGGUAAUACGUAGGUGGCAAGCGUUGUCCGGAUUUAUUGGGCGUAAAGCGAGCGCAGGCGGUUUUUUAAGUCUGAUGUGAAAGCCUUCGGCUCAACCGAAGAAGUGCAUCGGAAACUGGGAAACUUGAGUGCAGAAGAGGACAGUGGAACUCCAUGUGUAGCGGUGAAAUGCGUAGAUAUAUGGAAGAACACCAGUGGCGAAGGCGGCUGUCUGGUCUGUAACUGACGCUGAGGCUCGAAAGUAUGGGUAGCAAACAGGAUUAGAUACCCUGGUAGUCCAUACCGUAAACGAUGAAUGCUAAGUGUUGGAGGGUUUCCGCCCUUCAGUGCUGCAGCUAACGCAUUAAGCAUUCCGCCUGGGGAGUACGGCCGCAAGGCUGAAACUCAAAGGAAUUGACGGGGGCCCGCACAAGCGGUGGAGCAUGUGGUUUAAUUCGAAGCUACGCGAAGAACCUUACCAGGUCUUGACAUACUAUGCAAAUCUAAGAGAUUAGACGUUCCCUUCGGGGACAUGGAUACAGGUGGUGCAUGGUUGUCGUCAGCUCGUGUCGUGAGAUGUUGGGUUAAGUCCCGCAACGAGCGCAACCCUUAUUAUCAGUUGCCAGCAUUAAGUUGGGCACUCUGGUGAGACUGCCGGUGACAAACCGGAGGAAGGUGGGGAUGACGUCAAAUCAUCAUGCCCCUUAUGACCUGGGCUACACACGUGCUACAAUGGAUGGUACAACGAGUUGCGAACUCGCGAGAGUAAGCUAAUCUCUUAAAGC
rnacentral:rRNA from 2 species